rnacentral:rRNA from 2 species
UGGGGAAUAUUGGACAAUGGGCGAAAGCCUGAUCCAGCCAUGCCGCGUGGAUGAUGAAGGCCCUAGGGUUGUAAAGUCCUUUCGACGGGGAAGAUAAUGACGGUACCCGUAGAAGAAGCCCCGGCUAACUUCGUGCCAGCAGCCGCGGUAAUACGAAGGGGGCUAGCGUUGCUCGGAAUCACUGGGCGUAAAGCGCACGUAGGCGGAUUUCUAAGUCAGGGGUGAAAUCCCGGAGCUCAACUCCGGAACUGCCCUUGAUACUGGGAAUCUCGAGUUCGGGAGAGGUGAGUGGAACUGCGAGUGUAGAGGUGAAAUUCGUAGAUAUUCGCAAGAACACCAGUGGCGAAGGCGGCUCACUGGCCCGAUACUGACGCUGAGGUGCGAAAGCGUGGGGAGCAAACA